rnacentral:rRNA from 1 species
UGCUUAAUUCGAGGCAACGCGAAGAACCUUACCUGGGUUUGACAUGUAGGGAAAAGCUGUAGAGAUGCAGUGUCCUUCGGGGCCCUACACAGGUGGUGCAUGGGCUGUCGUCAGCUCGUGUCGUGAGAUGUUGGGUUAAGUCCCGCAACGAGCGCAACCCUUAUCCUAUGUUGCCAGCGCGUUAUGGCGGGGACUCGUGGGAGACUGCCGGGGUCAACUCGGA